rnacentral:sRNA from 1 species
UUACAAGUCCAGGAGAUCGAAGCCCAUUACUCAUUCCCAGAACAGCACUGCCUGGGGGUGGCCGUACAAGCUUCCCCACCACACCCCACUGCCCUGCCAAUGGGCCUCACCCCUGCCCUGGAGAGACCCCCCCACUAGAGGCGAGGGAGGAAUUCAAUCCUUUCAGCCCACAGAGUCCUCAGGGGCCAGU